CAACUGCGUGAAUUAAUGUGAAUUGCAGGACACAUUGAACAUCGACACUUUGAACGCAUAUGGCGGCCAAGGGUCCGUCCUUUGGCCACGCCCGUCUGAGGGUCGGCGAAGUUCUACCCAUCGCCGGAGGCUCUUUCCGGCGCGUUGGGCUCUCGCAGCAGCCGCCUGGCGGCUCCGAGGCUCCAAGUUCAGACCCGGUUUUUUUUAAAAAGCCGACCUCCUCUGGCUCCCCGCCGCCCGGCUGUCCUCUUGAGCGGGCGAAGGACAUGGCUCGGAUUUUGCGAUCGUGCCUUCGCCUUGCCGGCCGAGGUGGUGCCAAGGGGAGCCUCUCAUUUCCGACCUCAGAUCGGACGAGAUUACCCGCUGAAUUUAA
rnacentral:rRNA from 1 species